rnacentral:rRNA from 1 species
AUUGAACGCUGGCGGCAUGCUUUACACAUGCAAGUCGAACGGCAGCACAGGGAGCUUGCUCCCGGGUGGCGAGUGGCGCACGGGUGAGUAAUACAUCGGAACGUGUCCUGUUGUGGGGGAUAACUGCUCGAAAGGGUGGCUAAUACCGCAUGAGACCUGAGGGUGAAAGCGGGGGAUCGCAAGACCUCGCGCAAUUGGAGCGGCCGAUGCCCGAUUAGCUAGUUGGUGGGGUAAAGGCUCACCAAGGCGACGAUCGGUAGCUGGUCUGAGAGGACGACCAGCCACACUGGGACUGAGACACGGCCCAGACUCCUACGGGAGGCAGCAGUGGGGAAUUUUGGACAAUGGGGGCAACCCUGAUCCAGCCAUGCCGCGUGCAGGAUGAAGGCCUUCGGGUUGUAAACUGCUUUUGUCAGGGACGAAAAGGACCGUGUUAAUACCAUGGUCUGCUGACGGUACCUGAAGAAUAAGCACCGGCUAACUACGUG